GGCCUAUUAGCUCAGCUGGUUAGAGCGUCUAAUAACGCGAAGGUCACAGGUUCGAGACCUGUAUGGGCCA
rnacentral:tRNA from 1 species